GUACUGAAUAAGUGAGUGGGGAAUAAUGUGAAAAUCAUUAACUGUUCCUGCAACGGUAAGGAAAAAAUCUAAGUCCGAGCGCCACCCAGUAUAGUCCGCUGUCGAAUGAAGGCCAGGAAAAGUCUAAUUCUACAAUUUAAAA
rnacentral:ncRNA from 1 species